CAGCCGCCGCGGUAAUACAGAGGUCCCGAGCGUUGUUCGGAUUCACUGGGCGUAAAGGGUGUGUAGGAGGUUGGAUAAGUCAGGUGUGAAAUCCCGCAGCUCAACUGCGGAACUGCAUUCGAUACUGUUCAACUAGAGGAUCGGAGGGGGAAGCGGAAUUCUUGGUGUAACGGUGAAAUGCGUAGAUAUCAAGAGGAACACCGGUGGCGAAGGCGGCUUCCUGGAAGAUACCUGACUCUGAAACACGAAAGCCAGGGGAGCGAAUGGGAUUAGAUACCCCCGUAGUCCCUGUCUCUUAUAC
rnacentral:rRNA from 1 species